CUGGGAUGAUGUAACUUAGCCAAAUCAUACGUCGAUAUGCUCCAGGAGGCGUUUUCUCCUUUACCUUUGUUCUUACUGGGGAGGCCGUGCGUCUCUCUUUUAGGGAGAUGGUAAGGCUUUGGAAAUUCGCCUUCUGUUGAAGCGUGUCCUCUCUGAUGAUAAAAUCGAGAUUUGGUGCUGGCUGACCAGA